CGCGCAGGCGGUCGAUCAAGUCGAGUGUGAAAGCCCCCGGCUCAACUGGGGAGGGUCAUUCGAUACUGAUCGACUCGAAGGCAGGAGAGGGUAGUGGAAUUCCCGGUGUAGUGGUGAAAUGCGUAGAUAUCGGGAGGAACACCAGUGGCGAAGGCGACUACCUGGCCUGUUCUUGACGCUGAGGCGGCGAAAGCUAGGGAGCAAACG
rnacentral:rRNA from 1 species